rnacentral:lncRNA from 1 species
UAUUAUCACUGCUGUAAUUGGUUCAGGAGUGCUUUCUUUAGCAUGGGCUAUAGCUCAGUUAGGAUGGGUGGCUGGUCCUGCUGUUCUUUUUGCUUUUUCUUUCAUUACAUACUUCACUUCUACACUUCUUGCCGACUGUUACCGUUCUCCUGGCCCUAUCUCCGGCAACAGAAACUACACUUACAUGGACGUUGUCCGUUCUCACUUAGGUACUCUAUCAUAUAUACAGCUUAUAUUCCUACUUACUUCUUUGCCGUUUUCUUGAUUAUAUGUUUUUCUAAAACAGGAGGUGUGAAGGUAACACUGUGUGGACUGGCACAAUAUGCUAACCUCAUCGGAGUUACCAUUGGAUACACUAUUACAGCAUCUAUUAGUAUGGUGUAAGUAUAAAAGUCUUAUUAAUUAGUACUAUAUUAAAUAACUAUUGUCAUUAUUAAAUUAAAUAUAUACUAAUUAAUAUAUACCAAUAGUUUCAAUAAUUUUCUCUAUUAAUUUUGUGUCAAUUUCAGGGCAGUAAAGAGAUCAAAUUGUUUUCACAAACAUGGCCACGAAGCCAGCUGCUCAAUAUCUAGCUACCCAUAUAUGAUCAUAUUUGCAGUAAUUCAAAUAGUCCUAAGCCAAAUACCAAACUUCCACAAGCUCUCAUGGCUAUCAAUUCUUGCUGCUGUUAUGUCUUUUACUUACGCUUCUAUUGGUCUUGGACUCUCCAUUGCCAAAGCUGCAGGUACUCUUUCUUUCAUUUUCUUUUUCCUUUCCCUGGAUUUUUCAUGGAAUCAACUACUGAUAUUUGUAUGACAUGACCCUUUUUUAAGCCCUUAAUUAAUUGGGGUGCGACAUGAUAGAUAUUUGUGGUUCAAAUUGAUUAAUGACUUGUUAAUUAAAAUUAUAUAAACUGUAGGGGUAGGGCACCAUGUAAAGACAAGCCUAACAGGGACGACAGUAGGGGUGGAUGUGUCUGGAUCAGAGA